UACCAGACUCCUACGGGAGGCAGCAGUGGGGAAUAUUGCACAAUGGGGGAAACCCUGAUGCAGCGACGCCGCGUGAGUGAAGAAGUAUUUCUGUAUGUAAAGCUCUAUCAGCAGGAAAGAAAAUGACGGUACCUGACUAAGAAGCCCCGGCUAACUACGUGCCAGCAGCCGCGGUAAUACGUAGGGGGCAAGCGUUAUCCGGAUUUACUGGGUGUAAAGGGAGCGUAGACGGUGAAGCAAGUCUGAAGUGAAAGGCGGGGGCUCAACCCCCGGACUGCUUUGGAAACUGUUUGACUGGAGUGCAGGAGAGGUAAGUGGAAUUCCUAGUGUAGCGGUGAAAUGCGUAGAUAUUAGGAGGAACACCAGUGGCGAAGGCGGCUUACUGGACUGUAACUGACACUGAGGCACGAAAGCGUGGGGAGCAAACAGGAUUAGAUACCCGAGUA
rnacentral:rRNA from 1 species